UUGAAAGUUUCUCGUACAAUUAAA
rnacentral:siRNA from 1 species